rnacentral:lncRNA from 1 species
UUUCUUCACUCACUUUGCCCUCUCCCUCUGUGUGACUGAACAGCUUGGGCCAAAGGAAGGGGCAAGCAAAUGAGCAAAGGGAACAGGAACAAAGCAGCUCCUGGAAUCCUUAUGCAAGUACCAUGAUCACUGCUACCUUUGGGGAACGAGGACUGCAAAAGGAUCCUUCCUAAAUCCUUCUAUUAAGGGCAUCUUCCUAGCUCUCCAAAACAUGGAGGUGACACUGGACUGAAUUCCACUGUGUCACUGGUAUUUCUAUUGAAGGGUGUCCUGAGGAUUUCACAAAGUACUUCUCUUACAUCUGGGAGGAAGAACGCUUGUGAUGACCCAGGAGAGAAAUUCAGUAACAUUUUGCUGAGCUUGUUUAUGGCUCAAGGGAGAGUCAUACCUUUGCUUAAUAUUCUGCUCUUGAUCAGUGACAAGAGCAAACAGAGGGGGGCAUAACCCCUUGCGUCAUUUAAUCUCCUUCUGGGCAGUAGUGAAGUUAAGAUCCUCAGGGAGGGGUAAAGGAGCACUACUGACCAAAAUCUGGAAUGGAGGGGACCAUUCAGGAAUGGGCCUCUCCAAAUUGAGCCAACACUGGCUGAAACACUCCAUUUAAUAUUACUUAUUUAAUUUCCACAAUGAUGAAAACAGGGAAGUGGGCUUAUUGCUAUAGUUCAUCUAGGAAUAUUUUUUUUAUCAUGCUAGACACACAGU